CGGUCCUAAGGUAGCGAAAUUCCUUGUCGGGUAAGUUCCGACCUGCACGAAUGGCGUAACGAUCUCCACACUGUCUCGGCCAGAGACUCGGUGAAAUUGCAGUCGCGGUGAAAAUUCCGUGUACCCGCAGAAAGACGGAAAGACCCUGUGCACCUUUACUAUAGCUUGACAUUGGAUUUUGGGCCUGCAUGUGUAGGAUAGGUGGGAGGCUGUGAACCCUGUACGCCAGUAUGGGGGGAGCCAUCCUUGAAAUACCACCCUUGCAUGUUUAAGAUCCUAACUUCUUCCGGUUAUCCCGGAGAAAGACAGUGUCUGGCGGGUAGUUUGACUGGGGCGGUCGCCUCCUAAAGUGUAACGGAGGCAUGCAAAGGUUCCCUCAGCCUGAUCGGAAACCAGGCGCUGAGUGCAAACGCAUAAGGGAGCUUGACUGUAAGAGAGACAUCUCGAACAGGAACGAAAGUUGGCGUUAGUGAUCCGGUGGUCCCGAAUGGAAGGGCCAUCGCUCAUUGGAUAAAAGGUACGCCGGGGAUAACAGGCUGAUCGCAUCCAAGAGUUCACAUCGACGAUGCGGUUUGGCACCUCGAUGUCGGCUCAUCACAUCCUGGGGCUGAAGCAGGUCCCAAGGGUACGGCUGUUCGCCGUUUAAAGUGGUACGCGAGCUGGGUUUAAACGUCGUGAGACAGUUUGGUCCCUAUCUUCUGUGGGCGAAGGAGAAUUGAGAGGGCCUGUCCCUAGUACGAGAGGACCGGGAUGGACGCACCCCUGGUGAUCCUGUUGUCGCGCCAGCGGCAUAGCAGGGUAGCUAUGUGCGGAAGGGAUAACCGCUGAAAGCAUCUAAGCGGGAAGCCUGCCUCAAGAUAAGUUCUCCCCUCGAAAGAGCUGAAGGGCCCGGGUAGACUACCCGGUCGAUAGGCUGGAGGUGUAAGCGCGGCGACGUGCUCAGCUGACCAGUACUAAUAGCCCGAGCGGCUUAUUUUU
rnacentral:rRNA from 1 species